CACUCUUGCUUCUAUAUAUACUCUUAACUAAUAGCUAUAUGGGAGUGUUUUAUACAACCUCCAAAACAUUUUCACUUUGCAAGACACGUUGUUGUAUUAUAUGAAGUCUUUGAUGAGAAUGCAUUGGGCACUUGACUAUGGAAGAUAAAAAAGAAAUUAUAAUAAUAAGAUCCUAAAAAUUCUAGUAGAAUCUUAAAUAAAUUUUAAUUAAAUCUUAAUAAUGCUAAUCAAGAUUUAAUCAAAUCCAAAAGAAAUGUAAAAGAAAUUACAAAAGAAACAUGAAAAAAUCUUAAAUAAAAUAAUUUCUAAUCAAGUCCUAUUUUAAUUCUAAUUGAAAUCAUAAUGGACCUUAAUUAAAUAUUUUUUAAAAUUCUAACUAAAUUCUAAAUCCUAAAUCAAAUCUUAGAUAAAUCUUAGCUCUAAAAAAAUCCUAAAUUCUAAAUCAAAUCCUAAAUUAAUCCUAAAUCCUAAGCCGUAAAUAAAUCCUAAAUAAAUUCUAAGUUUUAAAUAAUUUUUAAAUCCUAAAUCAAAUCCUAAAAAAAUCCUAAAUCCUAAUCCAAAUCCUAAACAAAUCUUAAAUCCUUACAAAAUCCUUGACAAAUCUUAAGCCUUAAAUAAACUUAAUUCAAUUCUAAAGCAGAUUAAAACUCCAAUAUCUAUUGAUUAAACCAUUGUUGCUUAAAAAUUUAUACACCUUUCAACCUCUUAAUUAAAAAUAAGUACAACAAAAUCAAAGAUAAUUGUACUUAUCAAAUAGAAAACAAAUCCUAAAAUCCACUUGAGUGUUAGUUGACUUCUUACUUCAACCUAAAUAUUGAAUUUUUAGUGCCAAUAUCUUCCAUUUGAACUAUUUAUUUUCUUCCAAAAUUCACUUAAACUGUUAGAAAUCAAAUCUAGUCUCCACUUUAAAAAACUUACUUCAAUUCAAUCAAUAGAUUGCUAAAGAUGUUAAAAAUACUCACUAAUUCUCAAAUUCCAAUUUUUGAGACCUCAACCUACAAAAAAUUUUACAUGCUUUGAUUUAAUUGUUUAAUUGAACUUAAAUUUAUAAUACACAUCAAGCACAACUAUAUCUACCUACCUAUGAAAUUAUAUUUAUAGAUCUAUUACAAAACUUCUAAUUUUUUUUAAACUAUCAAUCCUAUUUUAUUUCAUUAAACCCA
rnacentral:lncRNA from 1 species